GGUUUAUUUGUUUGAGGCAGGGUCUCUCAUUGGCCUACAGCUCAAUAGGCUGGCUGGUCAAGGAGCCUAAGAGAUUGCACCCAUCUCUGCCCCCCCCCCCCGCACAGAAAUUAGAAGCAUGUGCCAUAUCAAUCAGCUUUUUACUUGGGUUUUAGGAAUCAAAGUCAGGCCCCCAUGUUCACACUUUACUGAGCCAUCUCCCUAGCCCUUUACAUGAGUUUCAAUCUCAAUGAUAGGACAUGUCGUUUUGUAAAUGAAUGUGUCAGGAUCCAAGUUCUAACAGACUGGACAACUGAAAAAUGCUGGACCCUUGGUCAGAGGGUCUCUACUGAAGCUGACCACACCCAGAGAACAAGGGAAUCCCUACAAUCCAGGCUGAGUAAGAGUACCUCCUCCUGAUGCUGCCUAACAAUCACCAUACUGAUGAAGUUGGUAUUUCAGUAAGAAGUGCAGCAGCAGACUAUGGCAUCCACCAAAAUUCAAGCAGUAUCACAACUGCCUUGAGGACUCCAUGGAUAUCCAGGGCUUCUCAACAUUCCCCCAGCCCCGAAGCCUCACCACCAGUGUAAAGAAGGGGCUGGCAGAGAUGGAAUGAGCCUCGAGGUUAGGGCUUCCAGCAUACACUUGUUCUCAAGACCCCCAAACAGAGAACUCCAGAAAAUGCUCCAUCUGAGCACAUUUGAUAAUGUCCCUUCAAGACAAUAUGAAAGACGUAACUUAUGAAUAUAAGUAUUUGCACAAAAAAAAAUAUCUAGGAAGAACAGCUAAAUCAUGACAUUCAGCAUCCUUGUGACUUAAGAGUCACACUAGGUCUACUAAAGCCUGGCAAAGGGCAACAAGGAUACAAUCUGGGUGAGUGCCAAAGGAUCUGAGUACAGAACCAUCUGGUCCAGGUAUGAUGAGAUAUGACACUAGACUGUGGUGGGACCAUGUCACAGCAGGUCUUAAGUUCCUAUCUAAACUGUGGGUUUCUCAGCACCCUCUGCUGCAUUGCCUGGGUGACGUGUUUUAUUUUGUUAAGAACAUAUUUGUCUUUCUUCCCAAUUUCUUUAACAUCAAUUGGUAUUUAAGUUGAGAUACUAAAAGAAUGUUCCCAAGAGCCAUUGCCUCAUUGUAAAUUUACAAAUGCAUUUGCGAUUGUACAGGGAAUGAUUAUAUCAUGUUAGGCGUAUUCAUGACCUUGUUAUUGUUCCAUGUGGACAUGAGAUAUUUGUGUCAAGUUGACAAGGGGUGGAUUGUAGUGGCUAUUCUUGGUUGUCAACUUGACUAUAUCUGUAAUGAACUACAAUGCAGAAUUGGAAGGCUCACUUGUGAUCCUAAUCUGGAGGCUGGGAGAUACAAGUUUCUGACCUGGAUCUUAGUGAGGAGAUCUUGAGCUAUGGCUAUGAAUCCCAGAAGAUUAAGACUGGGAGAUCUCUGAAUUCAAGGUCAUCUGGGACAAAGCAAGUCUCAGAUCCAGGUGUGGUGACACACACCUUUAACCUGGGCCACACCUUCUGCUGAAGACCUACAUAAUUGGAAGAAGGAAGAUUUGUUGUCUCUUUUUUGACUGCUUGCCUUGUGGGACUGAGCAACUGCUAGAUCCUUGAACUUCCAUUUACAGCUGCUGCUGACCGUUGUUGGGAGUUGGACUACAGACUGUAAGUCAUCAACAAAUUCCCUUACUAUAUAGAGACUGCUCAUAAGUUCUAUGACUCUAGAGAACCCUAACUAAUACACCAAUGUAACCACAGCUCUCUUUCAACCUGGAAAAAAAAAGUCUAAAUUUCAUGACAUAAACUCCCAAGUACCUGCCUGUAUCCAUCAAAAUUGCUGCUGCUACAACACCAUCUGAGCAAUCAGUCUCAAGGAAGAACUGUUCACUUGGCUCAGUCUCAGAGUCUAGGUCUGUCAUAGUGGGGAGGCAGGAUGGAACAGAGCGCCUGCUGGGAAGCAGAGAGGACCUGUGUCUGUGGGCUCUUUCCCAUCUCCUCCUUUAUUUCACCAGGGCCCCUGCAAUGCUACUCACACUCAAGGAAGGUUCCCCACCUCUUUUGCUAAUGGAAUCACCCUUGUGGACAUGCCCAGAGGCAUGCUUUAUGAAAUUUCUAGGAAAGUCUGCAAUCAAAUUGACAGUCAAGAUUAACUAUAUUUUCCCCAUCUCCGCUGGCUCCCCAUUAUGCUGAGGCUAGAGUCAAUGCUUUUGGUGGCCUUUGAGCAUCUGUAAGGAAUGGCUCCAAAGUCUCUCCUCCCUCUACUACAAAUACCUCUACCGUGACCACAAGGAUUGCACUAAACAUUCCUGUUACUACAUGGACAAAGACCAAAUCUCCCAGGGACUGGUUAGGAGGGCAGUGGCCAUAUCCUAUUAUCCUGGCAUGUAAUGACACAAAGGUGUUCAGUAAGUAUUUGUUAAGCUAAUAAAUGAAGCAAAUGGCAUUUAAAAGUCUCUUCAAGACAAUAUGAAAGAUGUAACUUAUUUGAUCCAGUGCAUAGACAUACAUACACUCACAAACACACACAUACUGCUCUAUUACUUAAUGGGUGACAGUCUAAGAAAUGGAUUAUCACUUUUCUAUAUGUUUACACAAACUAAGAUGGCCAAGACAUCACAAACUUUGCAAUGAAACCUUAGUGGGACACCAUCAACUACAGCCUGUUGUGACUCAACUAUUGUUGUAACAUACGAGCAAAUGGAUUAUAUCUGUCUGUGUUCAUGUAUGUGUGAGUACAUGUGGAGACCAGAGGACAACCUCAGCUGUCAUUCCUCAAGUGCCACUUGCCAUGUUCUUUGAGACAUCAUCUUUCACUGGCCUGGAAGUCACCAAUUAGGUUAGGUUGGCUGGUCAGCCCAGGGAGCCACUGUACCUGACUCUCCAGCACUGAAAGGGCAAGCACACUCCCAUGCCUGGCUUGUCUAAGUGUGCUCAGGUCCUUGUGCGCACAAGGCAAGCACUCAAAACCUAAGCACACAUGGACAGUCCUAUAAUAUACUUUAAAAAAAUACAAAGAUUAUGUUUCCCUCAUAAUGACAGUGAACAUUUAAAAUAACCACUCAUAAAUAGUGCCCCAGUGGGGUGGCCUAGACAGCAGGGAGCUAAUGUCUCACCCUCAUAUGUUGGGGUCCCCUUCCUAGCUCCUUCUCUCCUUGCCUCUGGGAAGAUUCAAAGCUGACAGAAGUAGCCAUGAAAAUGUUGCCCACUGGACAGGAAGGAGGAAGUCUGUGCUGUCCUCUCUGGUGAAAGGCCCCUCUUUUCUCCUGUAUUCCAGAGCCUGAGGCCCAAACAUAAUCAUUUCUAUCAAUUGAUUUUGCAUUUUCUUCUGGAAUACAGAUCAUUGGGUCUUAUGUCAGCCCUGUAGCAAUCUAUACAACAUUAGUAAGCAAGAGCUAGGACAGGCUAGGGAUGACAGGCUGGGCUCUGGAAGGAGAUCAUCUGACCUUGACCCUCUCCCAUGUCCUGGCUAUAUGAUCUUGAUAUAUAACUAACCUAUGUGAGACUUUGUUUCCUCGUUUCAACUACCUCAUGGGUGGCUUUGAGAAUUAAUUUAGGUAUGGAAAGCCUGUCAUACUGCAAAUAGUGUACAACUGUAAGACUAGCGUUGGAAUCUGUGUAGGAGAUUUCC
rnacentral:lncRNA from 1 species